rnacentral:rRNA from 1 species
UGCAGUCGAGGGGUAGAGUASCAAUACWUGAGACCGGCGCACGGGUGCGUAACSCGUAUGCRAUCUACCUUUUACAGAGGGAUAGCCCAGAGAAAUUUGGAUUAAUACCUCAUAGCAUAGCAGCUUCKCAUGAAGCCACUAUUAAAGUCACAACGGUAAAAGAUGAGCAUGCGUCCCAUUAKCUAGUUGGUAAGGUAACGGCUUACCAAGGCKACRAUGGGUAGGGGUCCUGAGAGGGAGAUCCCCCACACUGGUACUGAGACACGGACCAGACUCCUACGGGAGGCAGCAGUGAGGAAUAUUGGACAAUGGGCGCAAGCCUGAUCCASCCAUGCCGCGUGCRGGAUGACGGUCCUAUGGAUUGUAAACUGCUUUUAUACRAGAARAAACACUCCUUCKUGAAGGAGCUUGACGGUAUCGUAAGAAUAAGGAUCGGCUAACUCCGUGCCAGCASCCGCGGUAAUACGGAGGAUCCAAGCGUUAUCCGGAAUCAUUGGGUUUAAAGGGUCCGUAKGCGGUUUAAUAAGUCAGUGGUGAAAGCCCAUCGCUCAACGGUGGAACGGCCAUUGAUACUGUUAAACUUGAAUUAUUAGGAAGUAACUAGAAUAUGUAGUGUAGCGGUGAAAUGCUUAGAGAUUACAUGGAAUACCAAUUGCGAAGGCRGGUUACUACUAAUGGAUUGACGCUGAUGGACRAAAGCGUGGGUAKCGAACAGGAUUAKAUACCCUGGUAGUCCACGCCGUAAACGAUGGAUACUAGCUGUUGGGUGCAAACUCAGUGGCUAAGCGAAAGUGAUAAGUAUCCCACCUGGGGAGUACGUUCGCAAGAAUGARACUCAMAGGAAUUGACGGGGGCC